GAUGAACGCUGGCGGCGUGCCUAAUACAUGCAAGUCGAGCGAACAGACGAGGAGCUUGCUCCUCUGACGUUAGUGGCGGACGGGUGAGUAAAACGUGGAUAACCUACCUAUAAGACUGGGAUAACUUCGGGAAACCGGAGCUAAUACCGGAUAAAAUAUUGAAUCGAAUUGUUCAAUAGUGAAAGACGGUUUUGCUGUCACUUAUAGAUGGAUCCGCGCCGCAUUAGCUAGUUGGUAAGGUAACGGGUUAACAAGGCAACGAUGCGUAGCCGACCUGAGAGGCUGAGCUGCCACACUGGAACUGAGACACGGUCCAGACUCCUACGAGAGGCAGCAGGAGGAGAUCUUCCGCAAUGGGCGAAAGCCUGACGGAGCAACGCCGCGUGAGUGAUGAAGGUCUUCGGGUCGUAAGACUCUGUUAUUAGGGAAGAACAAAUGUGUAAGUAACUAUGCACGUCUUGACGGUACCUUAUCAGAAAGCCACGGCUAACUACGUG
rnacentral:rRNA from 1 species